UUUUAUGGAGAGUUUGAUCCUGGCUCAGGAUGAACGCUGGCGGCGUGCCUAAUACAUGCAAGUCGAGCGAACGGACGAGAAGCUUGCUUCUCUGAUGUUAGCGGCGGACGGGUGAGUAACACGUGGAUAACCUACCUAUAAGACUGGGAUAACUUCGGGAAACCGGAGCUAAUACCGGAUAAUAUUUUGAACCGCAUGGUUCAAAAGUGAAAGACGGUCUUGCUGUCACUUAUAGAUGGAUCCGCGCUGCAUUAGCUAGUUGGUAAGGUAACGGCUUACCAAGGCAACGAUGCAUAGCCGACCUGAGAGGGUGAUCGGCCACACUGGAACUGAGACACGGUCCAGACUCCUACGGGAGGCAGCAGUAGGGAAUCUUCCGCAAUGGGCGAAAGCCUGACGGAGCAACGCCGCGUGAGUGAUGAAGGUCUUCGGAUCGUAAAACUCUGUUAUUAGGGAAGAACAUAUGUGUAAGUAACUGUGCACAUCUUGACGGUACCUAAUCAGAAAGCCACGGCUAACUACGUGCCAGCAGCCGCGGUAAUACGUAGGUGGCAAGCGUUAUC
rnacentral:rRNA from 1 species